AUGAACGCUAGCGGGAGGCCUAACACAUGCAAGUCGAGCGGGAUUCUUCCUUCGGGGAGAUACGACCGGCGCACGGGUGAGUAACGCGUAUGCAACCUACCUCAAACAGGGGGAUAGCUCAGGGAAACCUGGAUUAAUACCCCAUAAUAUUUAGAUUUGGCAUCAGAUUUAAAUUAAAACUCCGGUGGUUUGAGAUGGGCAUGCGUGACAUUAGUUAGUUGGUAAGGUAACGGCUUACCAAGACUACGAUGUCUAGGGGUUCUGAGAGGAUGAUCCCCCACACUGGUACUGAGACACGGACCAGACUCCUACGGGAGGCAGCAGUGAGGAAUAUUGGUCAAUGGGCGCAAGCCUGAACCAGCCAUCCCGCGUGAAGGAAGACUGCCCUAUGGGUUGUAAACUUCUUUUCUGUACCAAGAAUGUUACCUACGUGUAGGUAUUUGACGGUAGUACAGGAAUAAGCAUCGGCUAACUCCGUGCCAGCAGCCGCGGUAAUACGGAGGAUGCAAGCGUUAUCCGGAUUUAUUGGGUUUAAAGGGUCCGUAGGUGGAUCAAUCAGUCAGUGGUGAAAUCCUGCAGCUUAACUGUAGAACUGCCAUUGAUACUGUUGAUCUUGAGUGCAGAUGAGGUAGGCGGAAUGAGUAGUGUAGCGGUGAAAUGCUUAGAUAUUACUCAGAACACCGAUUGCGAAGGCAGCUUACUAAACUGUUACUGACACUGAUGGACGAAAGCGUGGGGAGCGAACAGGAUUAGAUACCCUGGUAGUCCACGCCGUAAACGAUGCUCACUCGCUGUAUGCAAUACACCGUAUGCGGCCAAGCGAAAGUGUUAAGUGAGCCACCUGGGGAGUACGAUCGCAAGGUUGAAACUCAAAGGAAUUGACGGGGGCCCGCACAAGCGGAGGAGCAUGUGGUUUAAUUCGAUGAUACGCGAGGAACCUUACCUGGGCUUAAAUGUAGAUUGACAGUCAAAGAGAUUUGAUUUUCUUCGGACAAUUUACAGGGUGCUGCAUGGUUGUCGUCAGCUCGUGCCGUGAGGUGUCGGGUUAAGUCCCAUAACGAGCGCAACCCCUACCGUUAGUUGCCAUCGGGUCAAGCCGGGGACUCUAGCGGGACUGCCAGUGUAAACUGUGAGGAAGGUGGGGAUGACGUCAAAUCAGCACGGCCCUUAUGCCCAGGGCUACACACGUGUUACAAUGGCCGGUACAGAGGGCAGCUACUAUGUGAAUAGAUGCAAAUCCCCAAAGCCGGUCUCAGUUCGGAUCGGAGUCUGCAACUCGACUUCGUGAAGCUGGAUUCGCUAGUAAUCGUAUAUCAGCAAUGAUACGGUGAAUACGUUCCCGGGCCUUGUACACACCGCCCGUCAAGCCAUGGAAGCUGGGGGUACCUGAAGUCUGUAACCGUAAGGAGCGGCCUAGGGUAAAACUAGUGACUGGGGUU
rnacentral:rRNA from 1 species